AACGAACGCUGGCGGCAUGCCUAACGCAUGCAAGUCGAACGAGCCCUUCGGGGUUAGUGGCGCACGGGUGCGUAACGCGUGGGAAUCUGCCCUUCGGUUGGGAAUAACACAGAGAAAUUUGUGCUAAUACCUUAUAAUGUCUUCGGACCAAAGAUUUAUCGCCGAGGGAUGAGCCCGCGUAAGAUUAGGUAGUUGGUGGGGUAAUGGCCUACCAAGCCGACGAUCUUUAGCUGGUCUGAGAGGAUGAUCAGCCACACUGGGACUGAGACACGGCCCAG
rnacentral:rRNA from 1 species